GAGGGACCCUCCCCAGUCCUUCCCAGUUCCCCCCCCCCAGUCUGCCCAGUAUCCCACGUGGUUGCGGGGCGAGUGGGCGCGCACGGGGUCCUCGGCGGCCAACGAGACACUGCUGAGGAUGAUGAAGACGAGGAUGAGGUUGGUGAAGACGUGGUGAUGGAUGAGAGCGUGGCACCGCACCCGCAGCCUGCCCGGAGCACAGGUUGUCCACCGCGAUGGCCAGGAAGACAUUGAGGAGGAUGUCUGUGGGGAGGAAGGGAUGAAGAGGAUGACGAAGUAGACGCAGACGAGCAUCCCAGGGAAGACGGGCCCACCGGGUCCAGGGCACCUGGAAGACAGUGAGCAGGGCCUGGGGGAAGGUGUCGAAGGUGCUGCGCUUGGUCUGCGUCUCAUCGAAGCUGAAGCGGCCGCCGAAGAGCUGCAUGCCCAGCAGUGCGAAGAUGAUGAUGAAGAGGAAGAGCAGCAGCAGCAGCGACGCGAUGGACUUCAUGGAGUUCAGCAGCGAGCCCACCAGCAGGCGCACGCAGCGCAGGACGGAGAUGCCCAGGGGCUCCAUGGCGCCGCGCUCCACCAGGGCUGUCUCCAACACGCCGCCGCACACCACGAAGCAGUCGAAGCGGUUGAAGAAGCUGGCGAAGUAGCAGGAGGGCCCCAGGGCGUACAGCUUCAGCACCAUCUCGGCGGCGAACAGAGAGAGCAGAGCUUUGUUGGCAGGACAGGGGACAACGCAGCGACGGGCCGACACAGCAAUGGGGACAAGGAGUGCGAGGGUGACACGGUGAGCCCAUACCUUGCGUCUCGGUGAGCCACUGGGGCUGCCCGUGGUGCUCGGAGGCGAUGGUGAGGGUGUUGAGGAAGACGAGGAGCAGCACAGUCCAGUAGAAGGAGACGGAUUUCACCGCCCCGCGGCACCGCCGGCGCAGCACCCGGUUCAGGCGGCGCAGACGGCGCCUGGAGGGGAGGAUGAGCUCCUCGGUGGUCAGGCCUGCAGGGAAGGGGACGAGAAGGUCCUCAGCCUGUGUGAUCCAGUCCAUAUAGCCCCGCAGGUCCUCCUCCAGCUGCUGCUUCUCCCGCAGCUUCUGGAAGUCACCGCGUGCUUUGGCCUUCUCACGCUCCUUGGAGAACUCCCUGAGGGGAUGGGCACGUGUGGAACACGCUAACGACAUGCUAAGGACACGCUAACGACACGCUAACGACACGCUCACCCGCUCAGCACCCCCAGCACCAAGUUGAGGACGAAGAAGGAGCCGAAGAUGACGAGGCUGACGAAGGGGAGGCGCAUUUUGGGGUGUCCCCCCCCCAUCCCUCCAGGGAAGGGGGAGCUCACCCAGUAGAGGACGUCAGUCCAUCCCUCCAUGGUGAUGCACUGGAAGACGGUGAGCAUGGCGAAGAAGAAGUUGUCAAAGUUGGUGAUGCCCCCAUUGGGGCCCUCCCAGCGACCCCGGCACUCCGUGUUGUUCUGCAGGCAGGCGCGGCCGUGCCCCGAAAAAGCACACGGGGAGGGGUCGUCCUCUGAUUCCAGAGCUCGAGGCCGAUGAUGGCGUAGAUGAUGAUGACGAAGAGCACCAGCAGGGCGAUGUGCAGCAGCGGCACCAUGGCCUUCAUGAUGGAGUUGAGGACGAUGUGGAGGCCUGGGGGAGCCCGGGAGGAUUCAGUGGGAAGCUUGAGAUUUGGGGGGGGGGGGGGCCGACACACACA